rnacentral:rRNA from 1 species
AGCGGCAAAAGCUCAAAUUUGAAAUCUGGUACCUUCGGUGCCCGAGUUGUAAUUUGGAGAGGGCAACUUUGGGGCCGUUCCUUGUCUAUGUUCCUUGGAACAGGACGUCAUAGAGGGUGAGAAUCCCGUGUGGCGAGGAGUGCGGUUCUUUGUAAAGUGCCUUCGAAGAGUCGAGUUGUUUGGGAAUGCAGCUCUAAGUGGGUGGUAAAUUCCAUCUAAAGCUAAAUAUUGGCGAGAGACCGAUAGCGAACAAGUACAGUGAUGGAAAGAUGAAAAGAACUUUGAAAAGAGAGUGAAAAAGUACGUGAAAUUGUUGAAAGGGAAGGGCAUUUGAUCAGACAUGGUGUUUUGUGCCCUCUGCUCCUUGUGGGUAGGGGAAUCUCGCAUUUCACUGGGCCAGCAUCAGUUUUGGUGGCAGGAUAAAUCCAUAGGAAUGUAGCUUGCCUCGGUAAGUAUUAUAGCCUGUGGGAAUACUGCCAGCUGGGACUGAGGACUGCGACGUAAGUCAAGGAUGCUG